rnacentral:rRNA from 1 species
UUAAAUAAAAAAUUAAUAAAAUAAUAGUAAUAAAAGAAAUUUUAAGAUAAUUUUUGUUUUAGUAUUUUUUAUAGAAAAAAUUAUAAAAUUUAUAGUAAAUAAGUAUAGUAAUAGAAUUUUGAAAUAAUUGAAAAAUUUAUUUUUUAGAAAGUAGAUUUAAAUUAUUGUAUCUUGUGUAUCAGAGUUUAUUAAAAAAAAUUUUUAAAUAAAAAUUUCUCGAAUUAAAAAGAGUUAUUAAAUUAUAAAAAUUAUUGUUUCAAAAAUAUUUUUAAUAAUUUAAUUGAAAUGAAAUGUUAAUCGUUUUUUAAGAUAUCUAGUUUUUUUAGAAAUAAAUUUAAUUUAAAAUUUUGAAUAUUAAAUAAUUUAUUAAAUAAUUAUUUAAUUUAAAAUUUAAAUAUUUUAAGGGAUAAGCUUUAAAAUAAAUUUUUAUAAGAAAAAUUAAUUAAAAUUAAGAAUUUUAUAAUUUAUAUUGUUAAAUAAAUUAUAGUUUAUUAUAAAUAAUUUUAUUUAAUAGAGAAAAAUUUAAAUAAUUUCUUUAAUUUUUUAUAAAAAAAAAUUUUUUAAUAAUAUAUUUUUAGUUAUAAUGAUAAAAUUAGUAUAUAAAUAUAUUUAAAUUAAAAUAUGAGUUAAAUUAUAGUUAAUUAAAAAGAAUUCGGCAAAAUUAAUUUAAUUAUAUUCACCUGUUUAUCAAAAACAUGUCUUUUUGUUAAUAAUUUAAAGUCUAAUCUGCCCACUGAUUUUUUUUAAAGGGCUGCAGUAUUUUGACUGUACAAAGGUAGCAUAAUCAUUAGUCUCUUAAUUGGUGACUUGUAUGAAUGAUUGGAUGAGAUAUAAACUGUUUCUUAAUUAUUUAUAAAAUUUAAUUUUUUUAUUAAAAAGUAAAAAUAAAUUUAAAAGACGAGAAGACCCCGUAGAGUUUUAUAUAAUAAUUAAUUAAGAAAUUAUAUUUAAGAAUUUAAUUAAAAUUAUUUAUUAUAUUUUAUUGGGGUGAUAAAAAAAUUAAAAAAACUUUUUUAAAAAUUUUCCAUUGAUAAGUGAAUUUUUGAUCCAUUAUUAUUGAUUAAAAGAAAAAAUUACCUUGGGGAUAACAGCGUAAUUUUUCUUUUUAGUUCAAAUAAGAAGAAGAGUUUGCGACCUCGAUGUUGGAUUAAGAUAAAAUUUAAAUGCAAAAGUUUAAAAUUUUGAUCUGUUCGAUCAUUAAAAUCUUACAUGAUCUGAGUUCAAACCGGUGUAAGCCAGGUUGGUUUCUAUCUUUAAAUAAAUAAAAUAUUUUAGUACGAAAGGAUCAAAUAUUUAAAAUAAUUUUUAUUAAUAGAAUAUUAUUAAUCUUAUUUAUAAAAAAAAAUUAUUUAAUAUAAAUUAAUUUAUUAU